GGGCGCGUAGCUCAGCGGGAGAGCACUGCCUUCACACGGCAGGGGUCGCUGGUUCAAUCCCAGCCGCGCCCACCA
rnacentral:tRNA from 17 species